UAAAGCCACAAGAAGAAGAUGAUGCAGGCUGCUGUGAAGCAUGUUUUUUUUUUUUUUCCCUCUCAUAGAUUCUCAUAGAGACUGCAAUGGCUGAAGUUAAAAAAAAAAAAAAAAAAAUCAUAAUUUGUGUUCUACUGAAGAAACAAAGUCACCUACAUCUUGGAUGCCCUGGGGACUGACACAUUGGACAGGGGGCCUGUUCGAGAGGUCCGCAGAGGCAUGUGGGUGGUCCCAAGUGGACUGGCCUGUGCGGCUUAUUCCUCUGCUGUCUGGAAAGGGGCAGGUGGCCGCCCAACAACUGCCAGUCCAAAACCUCCUGGUCUACCAAGACCUGAAAUGCGCCUUCCUACAGCGGGUCCAGAGCAACACUGGCAGCACUUCUUGUCCUUGGACCUUGGAGAAAUCAUCGACAAGAUACUACUCGGGCAGUUCGUGGCACAUCUGCCUAAGAAGACUACGCAGUGGUCUUGAAAAAAUGAAAUUCAACCGACAUGUUGGAAAGGGGGCUUGGAGCGGCUCUGUCUCAGGAUAAAGAGGUUGAGGAGCGGCCAGUGCUGUACAUCAGUCAGCACUGAUGGCUCCCCGGCCUAAGUCGGGCGGUGGGGGUAUGUUGCGAAUGAGGCGUGGUUCAGUAAGGUCUGCAGCGGAGUGGCAUGGAGAGACCUGAUAAAGUCCACUGGGAAAGGAGACUGGCCAGAAAGAGACUGACUGGGACUCGUACUGGCUAGAGUGUGAAUGCUAAAACUGAAGUUAUAUUUGUAGUUAUAUUUAACUUUUGCUGAGUUGUUUAAAGCAUGUUGAGCAAUUUAGAGCAAAAGUGCAAACCAGGAUGCCAUUGCAAGGCAUUUAUGAAACAUAAUAAUUUUAUUUUUAAUCUACUUCACUGCCUUUGUGCACUCUUUAUUAUUGUAGCCAUUGUGACUGUACCUUUGUUGGACUUCUAUGGCAUCUUUGUCAGACACUGCAGUUAAGCGUAGGCCUUUUUUCUAAAGACACAUUAACUGACUCUCUGGCUAGUGAUGCAGACAGAGUUGUAAAUAUGUUAUAAUCUUUUGGCACAGAUUGUGUUCCUCUACUAUUCUUAAGACCAUCCACCUUUUGUUAGCCUGUCUUAAAUGACAGAACAUGUAGAAAUGUAUACAUCCACAACUUAAAAUGUAAUAUUUCAGAAUAAUGUGUAAAACAAAUAAUAAUAUAAAA
ensembl:lncRNA